GGGGACACUGGGGGGGCCUGGGGACACCUUGGGGACAGCUUGGGGACACCUCGGGGACACCAUGGAAACACCUCGGGUGGUAUCUGGAGACAUUUGGGGACACCUGGGUGACAUUGGGGACACCUUGGGGACACUGGGGACACCUUGGGGACACCGGGGUGAUGCUGGGGACACCUGGGUGACGCUGGGGACACCUUGGGGACACCUUGGGGACACUGGGCUGGCAUCUGGGGACACCAUGGGGACACCUCGGGUGGCGUCUGGAGACAUUUGGUGGCAUCUGGGGACACCUGGGGACACCUGAGUGUCACUUGGGGACACCUGGGUGGCACUGGGGACACCUGACUGUCACUUGGGGACACCUGGGUGACACUGGGGACACCUGGGUGACGCUGGGGACGCUGGCGCUGCCCCUGUCCCGUCCCCCCUGCUCUGUGUGUGACAUUUUGGGGACACCUUCUACAACCUGGACUCCAAACUGGCCAGCCCCGCCCCCAUCGGGGCGGAGCCUCAGCUCAGGCAGUUCCUGCGGGCGGCGCUGGCCAAGGCUCCCUCGGAGCUGUUCCUGGUGGUGACACGGGACGUGGAGGAGGCGGGGACGUGGCUGAGCCCGGAGUGACACCUGAGG